rnacentral:tRNA from 1 species
UCCAUUAUCGUCCAGUGGUUAGGAUAUCUGGCUUUCACCCAGGAGACCCGGAUUUAAUUCCUGGCAAUGGAA